rnacentral:rRNA from 1 species
AACGAACGCUGGCGGCGUGGAUAAGACAUGCAAGUCGAACGGGACAGGUAGCAAUAUCUGUCUAGUGGCGAACGGGUGCGUAACACGUGGGCAACAUGCCUGGAAGAGCGGGAUAGCCCGGGGAAACUCGGAUUAAUACCGCAUGUGACAACGGGGCGGCUUCGCCCUGUUUUCAAAGGUGGGGACCGCAAGGCCUGCCGCUUCCAGAUUGGCCCGCGUCCUAUCAGCUAGUUGGCGGGGUAACGGCCCACCAAGGCGACGACGGGUAGCCGGUCUGAGAGGACGACCAGCCACACUGGAACUGAGACACGGUCCAGACACCUACGGGUGGCAGCAGUCGAGAAUCCUUCACAAUGGGGGAAACCCUGAUGGAGCGACGCCGCGUGGAGGAUGACGGUCUUCGGAUUGUAAACUCCUGUCAUGAAAGAACAAGCGAUGCGGGUGAACAGCCCGCAAAGUUGAUAGUAUUUCAAGAGGAAGGGACGGCUAACUUCGUGCCAGCCGCCGCCGUAAUAC